GUGGAAAGGACAGCAUAUAGAUAGCACACAAGUUAGAUAGAGGCAGACAAAUAAAAAAUAAGGAAAAGAACAGCACGUAUAACAAGAGAUCUCCUUUUGCUGUAUCUGCUGGUGCUGGACAACAAAACUACCAUGCCAGUUUUGGUUUCUAGGGGUCUGUUGGGAACCAUGCGAAGGGAAACCUGUGUCACCUGACCUCUUCAGGACAUGAGGACCACAAGCAUUUCUCCUUUUAUCAACAGCUGUCAUAGAAACUGGAUGUAAUGCUUCCUCAUCAUACGGCAGCCCUCCAACACCUAAAUUAAGAAGUGAAUAGUGCAGGGGUUAAUUAUGAACCUGGAAAAGCUGUGUAGCACUUCUUGGGAAGGCAUCAGCCCGUGAGGGACCUGCGCGGGGUGCAGCAGUGAGAUGCCUCAGCAGGAGCCAGCAAAGUGUUCACCCUGGAUGUUCAACCAGCUUCACGGCUGCUUUGGAAGAGUCACAACCGAGCUGUCUCGGCGUCAGUUCUGAAAGCAGUAAGCACACAAGGUUACUGCCUGGUGUUUCCUUUCAUAGCUGAGACAUACCUCCGGUAUGGCCGUUAAGGAGACUGCCUGCAAGACAACUCCAUCCAGGAAUGACAUGCAGUUCCUUGGUGUGUUUUCCUUGGCUGCAGCCCGUGUCUCUCUUCAUCCCCUGAUUCCAGACAGCAGCACCUCCUGCAGCCACUGCCUUCUACAGAACUUCCAUUCCGCAGAGCUGAGGGAAAGGCUUUGGAGCAUCGCCUGCUGCCUUCACAGAGGCAUUUUAAGAGUUUUUGUUCUGAGCUGUACAGCAAGCAGAAAAGUAAUAUACAUAAUAAAGUAAAGAAAUAUUAUGUACUUGAAUUUUUAAUUAAGUUCUAUUUACGAUGUUGUCGUCCAUUUUGAAACAUUAAGAAUAGCUCUACCUUCAAUGCAGGAAGGAUUUCCCUUAUCUACGUAUUUCACAAUAAAAAAGGAAAAGGAAUGUGGCUAUUUUUACAUUGUAAGUGCCUUUAUGUCAAAUAUAAGCUAGAUUUUAUUUUUUAAUGAAACUUAAUUUAGCCUAGUUAAGAAACCAAUAACCAUAUUUCCUAAUUCAGUUUAUUAAAGUAAUAAACACAGCUAUUCCAGGAAAUGAAAAUAUUUCUGUAUAUGAAAUAGAGUUCUCUGCAGAAGAUAUUCAAGUGUGGAUCUCUGAUGUUUAGCAGUAAAAAUGUAUAUUGGG
rnacentral:lncRNA from 1 species